GGGCGCUUAGCUCAGUUGGUAGAGCGUCUGCCUUACAAGCAGAAUGUCGGCGGUUCGAUCCCGUCMGCGCCCACCA
rnacentral:tRNA from 1 species